rnacentral:lncRNA from 1 species
CCUCACAUGCAAUUGAACCAAUCCAACAAAAGGGUGUUGACAAUCCUUUGUAAGUGGCUGCACCAAAGCCAAUUAUCUUGCUAUGCAGACCACAAUAUCCUGUUGUCAGCCUACAGAAAGUUCCAUGGAAUUUUGGAGAGGUUGAAGGAUCCACAUCCCACAUAAUUGAUGCAGUGUCGAAGGAUAAUCCACUGUAUCUUCCCCAACGGGUGAUGAAACCUACCAUCAAGUCAAAGGGGAAGAUUCCCAUGGAAAAAGUGGAAGAAUUUCUCCGUACUAUGGGCCAUAAUGAAGCCAGAUGGUUUUACGAUUAAGAGAAGCUCUACAUCAAAUUUCCAUACUAGACUUGGUUUUCUCUUUUGAAGAUCACAUGAAGGUAUUUCUCAGGGUUUUGGAAGAAAC